rnacentral:lncRNA from 10 species
UAUUGGGCCUCAAGAUUUGUGGAGAGAUAGCUACUAAUACAUGGAAACUAUGAGUGUCUCUGUUAACCACAGUGAGCACUCAAAAUACAGAUCAGAAAGAGCCACACAACCAUUGAAGGCAAUCACCCUGAAGGAGGACAAGAAAUCUCACUUUUCCACCUACACCUCUUUUGUUUUAUGGUUAUUGCUUUAAUCUAAACCACCCUGUCCUCCAGCAUACUUUGCAAUGUC